GCCGGCAUAGCUCAGUUGGUAGAGCAAUCGCCUUGUAAGCGAUAGGCCGUCUGUUCGAGUCAGACUGCCGGCACCA
rnacentral:tRNA from 1 species